AGGAGGGAGGGAGUUCCACAGCCGGGGGGCCACCACUGAGAAGGCCCUAUCUCUUGUCCCCACCAGUCAUGCGUGCGAAGCAGGCGGGACUGAGAGCAGGGCCUCCGCAGACGAUCUUAGUCUUAGAGGUGGUUCAUAGGGGGAGAUACAUUCAGACAGGUAAGCUGAGCCAGAGCCAUUUAGGGUUUUAUAGGCUAAAGACAGCACUUUGAAACCAUAAGAAGAAUGGAGGUUGGUGAAAAUAAAGUCAUCUUUGGAUGCAUUUUGGAAGAAAUGGUCUCUAGAAGGUUCAAAAUGUUUAUGUUUGCUUAUCUGACUUGUUAGUUUAUGGUCAGUUUUAAAUUUUAAAAAAACCAAUUUGCCGAAAUGUGUUGGACUAUUCUUUUUUGGGUGUAUAGGAUACCAUCUGUAUUCUUUCCGUAUUAUUUUUCUUUGUGGUACCCAAUUUUCUGUUAAAGAAAUAUUGUCCAGGAAUACAUAUACUUUGUUAAUUGAGGUAAAGCUAUAUAGGGCCAUUACUAUAUUAUACCUAUAUGGAAAAUUCAGCAUUGUCUAAUGAACACGACUUUUAAAAAUGAUACAACUGUGGGAAUUUCAACCCAUGAAAACCUUGGGACAAUAAAACUAGCUCUAUGUUGUUUGGCCCUGAAGUUUCCUAUUUUGAAAUAUUUUGUAUCAUAGGGUUGUUGUAUGUCUUUCGGGCUGUGUGGCCAUGUUCCAGAAGCAUUCUCUCCUGACGUUUCGCCCACAUCUAUGGCAGGCAUCCUCAGAGGUUGUGAGGUAUGGAGAAAACUAAGCAAAGAGGUUAAUAUAUAUCUGUGGAAAGUCUAGGGUGAGAGAGGUCAGUGUGAAUGUUGUGUAGUUAAUCACUUUAAUUAGCAUUGAAAAGCUUAUCUGCUGUCUUCUUCCUGCCUCUGGGGCAUCCUUUGUUUAGAGUCGUUAACUGCCCUUGGUUGAUUCAUGUCUGGAAAUCCUCUGUUUUCAGAGUAUUGCUUUUUAUUUACUGUUCUGAUUUUUGAGUUUUUUAAUGUUUGAUUCUCUUUCCCCUUGGUGAGUUUUGGAACUAUCUCAAACUCCCUUCACCACCCUACACAAAUGCUUGAAAGGAAGAUGUGAUGUGAAACAUUUGGGAGGCUAGAGAAAGACAUGCCAGAAGUACUUGAGUUGCACUUUACAGCAUUGAAUGUUUACCACUGAUGUUGUGAACCGCCCUGAGUCCCCAAUGGGGAGAUAGGACAGAAUGGAAAUAAGCUGUUGUGCUGCAAUAACCUUUCUUCAUGACCAUUACAUUGCUAAUGGAAAGUGGAAAGAAUUGGAAAAGCAUCUGCCUACCACUCUAUAUCCAGACACAGAUUGAUGACAUAAUCUUCAGAGAUCUUCAGAGAGCUCCAGUGAAUAUAACAGAAGAUGUCCUCUAUUUGCAUCCACCUUCUCAACUAGAGGCUGUAAUUGUAAAACCCCAUAAUCCUCUGCUAUUGAAUAAAAACAUCUCUUAAUUGAGCAUCUACAGUAAGAUAUCUUUACUAACUUUCAAAAUAAGAGUAUGUUAUUUUUCAAAAUUCUGGCAUUCUGGGGUGUUCUGACCACAUAUGAUUUAGUGUAUUCUUUGUCCUACCCCUUUCCAGCAUGUUAGCAUUAUAUCUUUUCCUUAUAUAUACUUUGUUGUCUUUCUUUGAAACCGAAAGAAAAACAUGUUGUUGGUUUUGGGGAGUGGGUUUGGAUUUAAAACUAGCAUGGCAUCUCUCUAUGCUUGCCUGCUUUCACCUGCUGCAUUUGUGGAUUUAGAAAUAAUUUGUCAAUAAAAACGACAUGAGCCCCAAUAUUCCCUUUUAGGAAUGGAGCCUGUAAAAGCUGCACCUGAAAGUCCUACUGCAUGGAAAAAUGAAGCGUGCAAAACACCCUUUUACUGGUUUAGAGUACUAUCAUAAGUGGGCCAGCAUCCAGAGUAAUAUCUGGAUCACGUGCAAGUGCUUUUAUAUGCACUUUUAAAAAUUACAACCUGGGAGAGAUCCACAGUCCUAGAUGGUUUUCCUCCAAGCCACUCCAAAAAAAAAACAAACAAAAAAAACUUUGUUCUAGAUGUCAUGCAAGAUGAGGAUAGAAUAAAUGUUAACUCUAAUUAUUCAGACUAAGGUUGGUAGCUUGUGUCACAGGAAGGAGCCAGGAAAACAUGGAGAGAUACAGUCAACUCAGUGGGGAAGGUGAUCUAAGUUGAAGUGAUUUCAGCUAAGACUUCAGAUGAGAAGAUCAUUGCCUGGGAAGCUUCCGCUAAACCAGAUCAGCCAAGACAGAGAACAAGCACUUUGGGUUGAACACAAACUACAGAGGUUUAUUACAGUGUGGCCAAAAGGGAUGCAAAUACCAGAAUAAGUCCAUAGAAAAAUACAUUUUAUACAUUUCUGACAGUUAUUCAGACUUCCUGCACCUCCUCCUGAUUGUCUGAGAAAACAGCCUGGGCAGGAUACUAUUAGCUAUUGAUUUUGAGUAUGUUUUAAUGUAUUAUAUGUUUUAUGAUUCUAUAUUUAUAUGUUUAUAUUUUACCUAUGUGAUUGUAUUUUAUUGUGUAUUGCUGGGGUUGGUCCCCAUGUGAGCCGCCCUAGUCCCUUCAGGAAGAUGGGCAGGAUAUAAGAAAAAUGUUAUUAUACAUGCAGGGACUGGCUGGAGGUUUCCCUGACGUCACUAUUAAGAGGAGGUGAUUCCCCAUGGCGGGAAGAAGAACAACCAAUUAUUAGUAGGUUUAAAGGUUGUGAAACAGAGGAGGAGGAGGAUGUGGGUAUGCAGAUGAUUUCUUGAUUAAUUUAACUGUCCUGUUCUGCAGAGACAAAGGAGCAAGACCUGGAAAACAAAUGCUGACAAUCCUGAAUAUUCAGAAGGUUAAAGUAUUCCUAUCUGUUUAAGCCUUCACUUCCAUGGGAAUGGUAAGGCUCCAGUCACGGUCAAACAAGUAAAAAUCCUAAGCCCAUCUUGCUGAUAAACGGAUCAUCAGCCUUAAACACAUGCACAAAGUGCCUGAUAUUAUCUGGCUGGGGAGACCGCUGGAGGGACCUUUCUUAAUUGUCCAUGAUCUCCAUUCCCAGGAGCUUAUAUAAAUAGGGGGCACUGGGGAAGCAGAAGUCUUCAGGAUACAUUCAAUACAGUUUUAUACAUUUAGAAACUAAUACAGUACACAAGCAAUACAAGUUACACAAGAAAUAUCAUUUAACACAUUUAUUAAAGAUUUUAACUAUGAUACAGUGCAAUGACUGAUUUUUGGAUGGUGUGAUUUUAAUAUUGAAUUCAGUUUUAAAUGUUUAAAACAGUAAGGAUUAAUUUUAAUUCAAUUUAUUUUAAGCUCAAUGUUUUGUAUGUGUUUAAGGCAUUGAAUAAUUCCCAUAUGUAAGGUGCCUUGAGUCCCUUUCAGGGUAGAGAAAGGUGGGGUAUAAAUAAGGUAAAUAAAUAAAUGAAAUAAAAUAAAUAUAGUUUGGGGUACAGCUGCUGCUGGGUGCCUCCGGAGACUCUGGCAACUUUGACAUUGCAGUUUAAAAAAUAAUGGGAAAAUAAUAUCUCUUGCUUAAAGUUUUAUUGAAGUUUAUAAAUGUUUGGGAAGGGGGUGCUCUGGCUCGACAACAAAGUAAUGGAGGCUCCUGUUUCACUGAAGUGAGAGCCAACCUCUAUCAGAUAAUGCUCAUCAGGAAUUAUGGGGAUUAUAUUCCAACUGCACCAGAUAUUGCUAGGUUGGAUAAAGCUAGCCCACAAUUUGUUUAAUGUUGGUAUAUUUGUAUCCCUCAAAUAUAUCUGGGAUGACUCAGGAACCAAUUGUUAUUAAAGGAUUUCUACACUUCUGUUUCUGAUAGCAUAUUCUUUACAUUGAACUAAAGUAAGAUAAAAACAUUGAGAGAAGGAAGGAAGACAGAAAGAAGGUUAUUCAAGCAAUGUAUUUAAAUUUGAAUUAGACUUGGGACUUUCUUACAAAAGGCAGGCAAACAGUCAUUGCAGAUGGUUUGGAACAGGCCCUAUCACACUAGGUGACCUCCCCACAAUUCUCCCAAUAGGAAACUGGCACAACUGCGUUACUGAACAGAGGUGCAAUAUCAAAAGGUGCUCAACUCAGUAUUUAUCUAUUAUGUAUACUAAUGUGACUGUUGUGGAAUUGUGGGUUGGUAUUAUAAAGUCCUUUGACCAACAACAACAACAACAAAAACAACAAAAGACUGGGAAAGAUGGAUAAUAAGACAACUUUAUAGAAACAUGUGUUUCUGGAACUACCCUUUCAAAAAUAGUUUGACUGACCACACUGAGCCAGAGUGAUGAAAUGCCACUUUUUCUUAUGGGCAAACUUUCUUUGUAUUCUAAAGUUAUGCUUUCAGGCUAUCCACAGCUAGAUGUUUCUUUCUAGAAGCCUGACAUGCUCUCACAAAUAACUAUUAACAAGUUAUUUGCAUUGGAAAAACCAUGAAUCACCAUCUAAAGGGGCUUAUUGCAUUUCCCUCCAGAGCCUCUGUUCUGUCAACCUCCAACGCACUGAUUGUAAAUCUCCUCUGCAUUUUGCUUAUUAAAGUGAGAAAAUGGAAGUGCCACCUUGGCAGGGUUAAACAGAUGAGGUUUAACUAGUCUAGACUGGCAACAGCAGUUGCUAUGUUCACACAAGGAGGAUGUGCUUGCCUAUUGCUUUAUGACCUUCAGCUCAUAAAGCAAUUAACUGGUGUCUUCUUAGCCUAUGAUAAAAAACAGUUAUUCAUUAGUCAAGCAUUCCUUGCUUCCCAGCACUUCUCCAAGCCCUGUUCUUGCCUUCCUUCUCCUCUGAGGAAAGCAGGAGAGGAGGCCUUCUUCCCUUCUGAGGCUCAACAAAUAGAGCUGUUGUCAGGUUGCACCACUUUGGGAUCAAACAGGAGGAUUCAGAGCAGAAUUCAAGAGAGGGAAAGGUGUUUCAGUUCGUCAUUUCCUGCAUACUGUUAGAACAGAGCCUUAAAGGGAUUUUUUUUUUUUGGAAUACAGUUCUAAGAUGACUAGGAGUAGCAAAAGUGUCAGAGUUUCUAUAAAACUUAUAUUAUGUGUGGGUGUUUACACAUAUUGACAUUGUUAAUUGCCUUCAAGCCAGCUAGAUAGGCCAGAACAUUUUCACGGCACCAGACUGUAAAUGGUUACAUUACAGUCAGUGGUAGUGCCUCUGAUAUCAAUGGACAGUCAAUCAAUUAUGGGGUUUAGUAGGAACUUUAGAAGAUGACUUUGUCAAUGGUGAGAUUAAAAACUAGAGUAGACGUUCCACCUCAUUGGCACUGAUGAUACCAAUUACCAAUGAUUUACAGUCUCAAAGUGUAGUUCUAGUUGCACAUAGUGAUCACAGCUAAUAUUGGCUGGGAACUGUCAAUUAUAGGCAUUUUGAAAGUAACAGGCUGGGGAAAGGAGGAUGUUCAGAGGCUUCCUUUUGGAUACCGAACAACAUAAUAACUACGUAUAAGUGGUUGGCACAGGUAUGUUUCAGUGAAGCAGGCAGGCAGCCAGAACUGAUUGUACUUUCAUUGUAAUUGCAGUUUUGCACAGAAGGGAAAUCCCUCCCUGCUGUAAAAAAUAAAUAAAAAUACAACAGCUAACAAUUGGAAUUGCUGCCAGGAGCUGUUAGGCUGUUCCAUUAACAGAAAAUGUAAAAGCCUAUUAUGUGGGAGAUGCUUGAAUCCUUUAGCAUAGUAAUAUAAAAUGAUUCACUAAAGGAAGACAUCUAUGAUUUUUUUUCUCCAGCACUGCAGGUGUCUUUUGAAAUGAAUUUCAGGAGGGCAUCACAGUUAUGUACAGACACCCCAGAAAAAACGGUGUGAAUUGGCCAGGUAUUGCUUCACAUCCAUUUUUGCACUCAGUUGCCUACUUUUAUAGGAAAAGAAAAUUGUGUUUCUAUUCAUUACCAGUCAAAUAUCCUUAAAUAUGUAGAAUCUUAUAAGCACAAUGUCUUUUUACUAGACAUGCCUUCCAUGACUUCAGUACAGCCAACUCCCAAAUAGGUGCACAUAAAGUCAAUAGCUGACAGCCUAUAUUAUUCCUGGGAAGGUUCAACGACCAAAGAUAUCUCAACAUUUCUCAAUGCUUAAUCCUUUUGUACAUCUAAUUCUUUGUGAUUUUAGGGGAGGCACAAUUGCAUAGGAUAUUAUGCCUGAUAAUUUUUGAAAGAGGUCAGCCCUAAUUGUUCCUCUAUUCAGGGGGGUCUAUGUUCUCAGAUAAAAUGACACUAUCUCAUUUAAAUGCCUGCUACCCAGACUGAUGCGGCCAUAGGCAUAGGAGCAUAGUGGAACUGGGAAUCAUAUAGUAUUAUCUGGGACAGUGGCCCUACUUGCACUACCAUAUAAUGCAGUUUAAAACUGCAUUAUAUGGUCCGUGUAGACUCAUAUAAUGCAUUUUAACUGCAUUGCGCAUUUUCAAACUAUGUUAUAUGGCAGUGUAGAGGGGGCAUUGAUCCCCUCCAUUGGCUUUUCCAUCUGCUCUGAUGGAAAAUAGCCAAUUGGUUCUGGGAAAACAGCCAAUUUUCUUUGUCUGAUUUAUCUUCUAAUGUUUUCACAAUCACUACAUUGAUGUUUAUUGUAUGUCACAGUGAGAUUUUCAAAGUUAAGGCAGAUUUUAAUUAAAGAGAUGAAAUACAUUAAAAUGAACAUACACUGUAAUUCUAGGUACAUUUACACCAAAGGUUAAAAAUUAUGUAAAAAGAGGUUUACUCUGAAUUAAAGUGAGAUUAUAGUCAAACCUAUAUACUGUAAAUAAAAAUGUAAUGUCCGUUUGUGAGGGAUCUCAUUUCUCCAAAAUUACUUCACCAAUUGCUUUGAAAUUUGGACACAAUGUAGCAUUCAAACUGGUGAGUGUUUUAAGGUAUUCACAUACCUACUAUUACACACCUGUCAAACCUGAUACAGGUAAAACCAUGCUUUGAUUCAUAAACAGCACCGUCUGUUGGACAAACAAGCAACAGCCUCUGUAUUGCAAAUGACUAUUUAAGGAAGGAGGAGAAGGGUGCGUGGAGAUGGCAAAAGCUGAGGCAAAACUAAAAUCGGUGGGGGGAAGGAAAGGGAGGAAGGUGGCGGAGGGGAAGAAGGGCCUUUCUCUUCACCUCAGAUACAGUCCACAAAGGAAAUCACUUCCGAACUACAACAACAAUAAUAGGGAGGAUGAGGCACUGGGGUCCCUUCCUUGGAGGGGCCUAUGGCCACUCUCAGCAAGAAAAUAACACGGGGGCAUGACCAGUGAGGAAGCCAUGCCCCUAUCAUUCUCCCCAAGAGGAGGGCAGAGAAAGAAAGACAUCUAUAUCCAUCUAUCCAUCCAUCUAUUUAUAUUUACACUCAGGGGCAAUUUUGUAAAUUUUGCGAUUUACAUCAAGACACAGAUUGCUUACCACAUCGACAAUAAUAUGUUGUCUGUUCCAAAGUCACCAAACCAGACAAUCUCCAUAUCUGCACAGACAAUGGAACAACCACAAAUAUUGCCUACCCACAAGCAUUGUGAAAUCACAUAUAUCUGAAACCUGCUCUUUCACUAUUCUUUCUUUCCCAUUUAACCAAACUGGGCCACAGCAACGCAUGGCCAGGUAUUGCUAGUAAACUAUAAAUGAAAAAAGAUAUAAAGGAAUCUAAAAUAUUUCUGAUGCUGAGAAAUUACUUGUAUGAGCUUUUAUUGAUACCAAUCCAUUUCAUCAGAUCCAACUUGUGUUAGAAUUUCUUUUUUAUUUAAGCUGGAUGCGCACUGCCAUAUAAAGCAGUUUCAGGAUGCAGAUUAACUGCAUUGAACUGGAUUAUAUGAGUCUAUACUGCCAUAUAAUUCAGUUCAAUGCAAUUAAUCUGCAUCCUGAAAUUGCAUUACGUGACCAUAUAGAUCCAGCCAAAGUCUCCUAGGCGCUACAGGAGUCCAUUAUUUUUAUGCUGAUAAAGAUCAACACAGAAAGGGUGCUUCUGCCCUAUAGAAUUAAUGAUGUUUGAUUCCACUUUAAUUGCCCUGGCUCAGUGCAUGGCAAGAGGCUGGGCUGGAUGGUCCUUGUGUUCUCUUUCAAUACUAUGAUACUAUAGAAGCCUGGAUUUGUAGUUUUACAAAGUAUUUAGCCUUUUCUGCCAAAGAGUGCUGGUGAUUCGCCGAACUGUAGUUCCCACGAUUCCAUAGCAUUUAUCCAUGUCAGUUAAAGUGGUGUCUAACUGCAUGAAUUUUACAUGUUAGAUUCACCCUAUGGCUUUAAAACCACAAAUCUGUUCAUUCCCAGCAACCUAUUCAGUUCUGUUCACAGUCAUGUUGUUUUAAAAAGCAUCACAAAUGUAUGUUCCCAGGUGGAAAUCUGUGAAUAUCUAAAACCAAAGGAGAAAAAAGCAUAUAUAUUUGUGGUUCUUAGAAUUGCUGAAAUGUGAUUUAAAAAAUAUAAAAAUCUGAUCCAAAAGCAAAAGAAGUAUUAUUAUGUUUCUUUGUGAUGUCAAUUUGAUCGAUGAGCUGCACUUGGAAUACUUUAGCCAGCCUGUAAUUCAGUGUUCCAGUCUUGAAUCAAUAAGUUAUAUUCCUUGAGAAAUUUGCUAGCAAGGCAAAUAGUUGUUUAUAUGGACAAGUCAUACAACUCCUGUCAGAACUACUUUUAAUUAUUGCAGUAGAAUCCCAGGGCAUUUCUGAUAAUUAAAAACCAAACCAUGCCUUAGAACACCCUUUUCUCCCCAAACCUGUAAAGAAAUAAAUAGCAAGAUAGAAAAUCGCUUGAUGCUUCUUCUCUUAAAUAGAACUUUCUGUCUACAGACCUAUUACAAAAAGCAACAGACUAACUACUGUAUAUAUUGGAGUCUAAUAAUUAAUCAGUCAAUGUUAUUUGAAAAAGAAGCAAUGUUGAAAAGUAAUAAUAUUUUUAAACUGUUAUAUAAGAAACAUUCCAAAAGAAAAAAAAAUUGUAAUGCUAUUCAUAUCAAUUUCAGUUGAAAAAAUAUUUUCCAGAACCCUAGAUUGGCUCCUUUAAUACAUCCAUAUAUAACUAAGUAACAUCACGGGAUCACCAUGAUAGAAUUAAUGCAGUUUCACACUACUUUAAUUGCAAUGGCACAAUGCUAUAGAAAUGUAUUGCGCCAAAAUGCUAAUGUGUGUGUGUAUGUGUAAAGAAAUCCUUGCAAAAGUUAGUUUGCAAGGGAACUCUGCAGAGGAGCUCUUUUUGCAGAGGCAAGCCACACCUCGAAACAAUGUAUCGUUAGAUGGCAGGUGGCUGAGAAUGUCAGUUGGGAUUUGAGCUUGCUGGGAGAGCACAGGAAAAAGAAGGUUCUCUAAUAGCUACGGUCAAGUAGCUGAUUUGAAUAUGCUAUGCUGUAUAUAUUGAUGCUGAUUUAUUAGUUAUUUACUUUAUGUAGCUACAAGGACAUUGUAAGAUUGCUGAACUGUUUUAUUUGACUUCAACUCUACAAGUAAAGUUUCCUUUGUUCUGUUCAA